CCUACGGGAGGCUGCAGUGAGGAAUAUUGGUCAAUGGGCGCGAGCCUGAACCAGCCAAGUAGCGUGAAGGAUGACUGCCCUACGGGUUGUAAACUUCUUUUAUAAAGGAAUAAAGUGAGGCACGUGUGCCUUUUUGUAUGUAAUUGAUGAAUAAAGAGAGGCAAACACCGUGCCAGCAGCCGCGGUAUUACGGAGGAUCCGAGCGUUAUCCGGAUGUGUUGGGUUUAAAGGGAGCGUAGAUGGGUUGUUAAGUCAGUUGUGAAAGUUUUCGGCUCAACCGUAAAAUUGCAAUUGAGACUGGCAGUCUUGAGUACAGUUGAGGUAGGCGGAAUUCGUGGUGUAGCGGUGACAUGCUUAGAUAUCACGAAGAACUCCGAUUGCGAAGGCAGCUUACUAAACUGCCACUGACAUUGAUGCUCGAAAGUGUGGGUAUCAAACAGGAUUAGAUACCCUAGUAGUC
rnacentral:rRNA from 1 species